rnacentral:rRNA from 1 species
UACGUAGGGGGCAAGCGUUGUUCGGAAUUACUGGGCGUAAAGCGCGUGUAGGCGGCUUGGCAGGUCGGAUGUGAAAUCCCAGGGCUCAACCCUGGAAGUGCAUUCGAAACCGCCUGGCUAGAGUUCUGGAGAGGAAGGUGGAAUGCUUGGUGUAGAGGUGAAAUUCGUAGAUAUCAAGCGGAACACCGGUGGCGAAGGCGGCCUUCUGGACAGAUACUGACGCUGAGACGCGAAAGCGUGGGGAGCAAACAGG